UCAGAAUAAAGGCUACAUGCUCAGUCAAACUCCUCCAAUUGCAACCCUCCCUAUUUCUCCCGGAGACCAAAGAUGGAGAAAUCUGGACUCCUCGCUGCCUAAAAGGUAGUUGCUUCCGCCACAACAGUCUUUGUUUCAUCUCCCUCUUCCUCCGCUUCUCUACAGACUCUACAUCAGGAUGCGACGAUUUAGAGGAACCAAGAGAACUCAUCAUCGGCGAGUUCAUCCUCUACAGACAAAUUUGCGCCGAGAUUUGACGGUUUGCGAUUCAUUGAGACACUGGUGACUGCCCACAGGUUAGAAAGUCAAAGAAAUCGGUGAACCAACUGUUUCUUCUGCUAAACAGGAGCUAUCAGAGAUGGUUUUUCAGUUUGCUGUGUAGGAAGCAGCAUCUGGCUACAUGUGGCUUCUAUAUUUUCCCCCAAGUUUUUCCUUUAUUUUAUGUUUAUGAGAUAUUUUUAGAAUUCUUGUAAUAUUAUUGAAUGAGUUUAUUACUUCACACUUCUUGUAAUAUUGAAUGACUUUUGAUAUAUGGUUAACUGAUUGAACCAUUUAUGGUA